GAUGAACGCUGGCGGCGUGCCUAAUAUAUGCAAGUCGAGCGAAUGGAUUAAGAGCUUGCUCUUAUGAAGUUAGCGGCGGACGGGUGAGUAACACGUGGGUAACCUGCCCAUAAGACUGGGAUAACUCCGGGAAACCGGGGCUAAUACCGGAUAACAUUUUGAACCGCAUGGUUCGAAAUUGAAAGGCGGCUUCGGCUGUCACUUAGGGAUGGACUCGCGUCGCAUUAGCUAGUUGGUGAGGUAACGGCUCACCAAGGCAACGAUGCGUAGCCGACCUGAGAGGGUGAUCGGACACACUGGGACUGAGACACGGCCCAGACUCCUACGGGAGGCAGCAGUAGGGAAUCUUCCGCAAUGGACGAAAGUCUGACGGAGCAACGCCGCGUGAGUGAUGAAGGCUUUCGGGUCGUAAAACUCUGUUGUUAGGGAAGAACAAGUGCUAGUUGAAUAAGCUGGCACCUUGACGGUACCUAACCAGAAAGCCACGGCUAACUACGUGCCAGCCGCCGCGGUAA
rnacentral:rRNA from 1 species